ensembl:lncRNA
GGACUCUGCCUGUCUCUUCAGCCACGCUGGCCCUUCUUUUGCCCUUGUCCUGCUGGAACCCGUCAUCUGACCCUCUCAGAUCAGCACAAACUCUUGUCCCCCUGCCACGGUCCUUCCCCCCCAAUAAACGACUUGCCUGGAGUCAUUGUCUUGCUGCUGCUACUGGUGACCUCACCUGGGACCAUGGUGACAGCCCGGUGGCAUCUGAUUUCCUGCAGAAGCCAAGUGCCCUGAGCAUGAAGAGCCUGGUCUCCAAGCUGUACCCCUCGGUCCUGGAGCCAAGCACUUCGAGCCUGGCUGGGGAGGCUGGUGGCCCAGCCCUGAGUGCUCGGGUCCUCCAGGAGAUGGCCAAGGGCACCAAGAGCAUCACCCUCAUCACAGCCACUCAGCACUCCAAGGCGCACGACUGGGAGGGCAGCAGUGGCCGCUCCUCCUGCCACCUCCUAGAGGAAAUGGCCCUGGACUGCAGGGACCUGAAGUCAAGCACCACCCCAGACCCCAGCCUGGCAGACAGAAGGUGGCCCCACGCUGGCCGGUGCAGGGACCGCUCCGUGGAGAGGAAGGCCAAGAAGAAGCGGUCACCCUCCCUCCCUGGGACCGUGCAGCCGGCGAGGGAGAAGCUGCCAUCCCCCUGCAGGGAGUGUUUGGCGGAGAGUCAGCCACCCCCAGCACUCCUUCGGCCGUCAAAGUCAUCAGGAAAGAGCUUAUUCCCUGCUAUCCCUGUGGCCUCCAAGAUAAAACCCGGCCUCAGUUUCUGUGCAGGUUAUUGGCACUCCGAUCUGUCCCUGUGGUGAAAGCAGAUUUAUGGGUGUCAGUGCUCCUUGAAGGGUGUCCACCAGCUGUUCCCAGCCUGCACCAAGGGAAGCACAGAAGUUGAGAAGACCUAUACGGCAAUUCGAUGGUGCCACAAUUGGUGAUCAACGGCCUAGAUCCUGCAUUUUUAUUUUAUUUUAUUUUAUUAUUAUUAUUUUUGAGAUGGAGUUUCACUCUUGUUGUCCAGGCUGGAGUGCAAUGGUGUGAUCUUGGCUCACUGCAAUCUCCACCUCCUGGGUGCAAGCAAUUCUCCUGCCUCAGCCUCCUGAGUAGCUGGGACUAUAGUCACACUCCACCAAGCCUGGAUAAUUUUUGUAUUUUUAAUAGAGAUGGGGUUUCACCAUGUGGGCCAGGCUGGUCUCGAACUUCUGGCCUCAAGCGAUCUGCCCUCCUUGGCCUCCCGAAGUGCUGAGAUUACAGGAGUGAGCCACUGCUCCUGGCCCCUCUUCUGUUUGAGGGUGAUGUCUGCUUAAACUUUGUUCAGUAAACCCAGAAAAUCAUCUUUAUUGCCAUGUAACAACCAGCUGAAAGAAGAAAGAAGGAAAGGAAGGGCAUAGCUGCUGCUGGAGAAGGGACAAAGACCCAAGAGCUGAGCGUAGGGUAGUGUCAGAGGCAUCUUAACCAGAGUGACGCCAUCUUUAAUAAAGGCCCGACAAAGCCAAACCUGCCGGUGACAUUCCCAGGGUGUUGGGCCCUUUCGGUCAUAAGAUGUUUAUGGUCAAGGAACAAGUUAAUGAUGUUAACUAGGCCAGGCGCAGUGACUCGCGCAUGUAAUCCCAGCCCUUUGGGAGUCCAAGGCGGACGGAUCACGAGGUCAGGAUAUUGAGACCAUCCUGGCUAACACGGUGAAACCCCGUCUCUACUAAAAAUACAAAAAAUUAGCUGGGCGUGGUGGCAGGUGCCUGUAGUCCCAGCUACUCGGGAGGCUGAGGCAGGAGAAUGGCGUGAACCUGGGAGGCGGAGUUGCAGUGAGCCAAGAUUACAUCACUGCACUCCAGCCUGGGCGACAGAGCCAGACUCCGUCUCAAAAAAAAAAAAAAAAAUAGCCAGGCGUGGCAGUGGGCACCUGUAGUCCCAGCUACUUGGGAGGCUGAGGCAGGAGAAUGGCAUGAACCCGGGAGGCAGAGCUUGCAGUGAGCCGAGAUCGCACCACUGCACUCCAGCCUGGGUAACUCCGUCUCAAAAAAAAAAAAAAAAAAAAAAAAAUGAUGUUAACAAAUGUAAUAAAGAUCCAGAACUCAUGGAAAUGACCCAGUGCUUUAAGAACAAAAAUCAUGUUUAGUUUAAGAAUAGGUUUUGCUUUAAAAAUAAUAAGACACUCUUAAAUUCUUGCUGAAAUCAACAGUAAUGUAGGGAAGUAACAAUACUAAUAGCCAGUCACAAACUGAUCACAAGCCUUUGAAAUAAAGUAUAUUAUUCCUUAUUUUUAUUUUUAAUGAUUUUUUUGAGACAGGGUCUUGCUCUGUCGCCCAGGCUGGAGUGCAGUGGUGCGGUCAUGGCUCACUGCUGUCUUGCCUUCCCUAGCUUAAGGGAUCUUUUCACCUCAGCCUCCCCAGUAGCUGGGGUGUGUGACACCACACCAGGCUAAUUUUGAUAUUGCAGAGAUGGGAUUUUGCUGUGUUGCCCAGGCUGGUCUUGAACUCCUAGGCUAACGCAAUCCUCCUGCCUCAGCCUCCCAAAGUGCUGGGAUUACAGGCAUUAAGCGACUGCACCUGGCCCCACCACCUGCUUUCUGAGGAUGCUGUACUCUGUAAUAGAGUUGUCUCUAACAACCUUUUUUUUUUUUUUUUUUGAGAUGGAGUCUCACUUUGUCACCCAGGCUAGAGUGCAGUGGCACGAUCUCAGCUCACUGCAACCUGUGCUUACCAGGUUCAGGUGAUUCUCCUGCCUCAGCCUCUCAAGUAGCUGGGAUUACAGGGGUGUGGUACCACACCCAGCUAAUUUUUGCAUUUUUUAGUACAGAUGGGGUUUCACCAUUUUGGCCAGGCUGGUCUUGAACUCCUGACUUCAGGUGAUCCGCCUACCUCGGUUUCCCAGAGUGCUGGGAUUAUGGACUUGAGCCACUGCACCCAGCCAUAAACUAUCUUAACUUCAGUAUCCUCUGUGAUUCGCCCUGAAUUCUUUCCUGGACAAGAUCCAAGAACCUGCUCUUGGGGUCUGGGACAAGACCCCUUUUCUGGGGACAGUAGAGGUUCCAGAAAGGACAAAGGACAGGAGCUCACAUAAAAAAUAAUCCCCUCCCAGGUCUGUGGGGAACACACAUGAAGUAGCUUAAGUAAAAGAGCCUAGCUUUUGGUAGGUGCUCAAUCUGUUGUAGGUAUUAUCCAUUAUUUAGUUUUAUUCCCAUGAUUCACUGGGUGGUCCCUAAAAAUCAUCACCUUCUCUUGCCUCCGGUCUCACUG